rnacentral:lncRNA from 10 species
GUUAAUUUUAUGUGUCAGCUUGACUGGGCUAAGGGAUGCCCAGAUAGCUGAUAAAACAGUAUUUCUGGGUGUGUCUGUGAGGGUGUUUCCCAAAAAGAUGAGCAAUUGAAUCAGUAGACUGAGUAAAGAAGAGCCACCCUCACCAGCCUGGGUGAGUAUCAUCCAAUCUGUUGAGGGCCUGAGUAGAAAAAAAUGAUGGAAUAAGGGCAGAUUUAUUCUCUUUUUUCUUUGAGUUGGACAUCCAUCUUCUGCCCUCAGACACUGGUUCUUGGAAUUUCAGAGUUGGGCGAGGAGUAACACCAUUGGCCCCCUGUUUUCAGGCCUUCAGACUCUGACUGGGACUUGCACCAUAGGCACUCCUGGUUUUCAGGACUUUCACUUAAACUGGAACUAUAUCACCAGCUUUCCUAGGCCUCCAGCUUGCAGGCAGUAGAUUGUGGGACUUCUCAGCCCCAUGCUUGUUGAAUACCCUCAAGUAAACUUCUAAGAAAACUACAGAUUUGGAGCUUCAAAUGCCUUGGUGAAGUUUCUAAGAACUUGGAUGUCUAAAAAGAACAGGGCAGGAAAUUAUCCAACUUGCAAGAGAAUGCUAGCUGAAAAUCGUCCCAUCUUAUGGAAAACCGGUAGAAAAUCCAGGAGGUGAAAUGGAGAACAUGUUCAACUGGAGAAUUCUAUUUCUUAUGCAUGUCAAAUAUGUUUCCUUCUCCUGCACUAGCUGUUCCUUCUGCUGGAAGAAUAUUUAUAUGACUGGCUAAACUUACUGUUCAGAUCUGAGAGUAAAUUUGCAUUUCUCAGAGAGUUAGUUCCUGACCACCCAACUCAAAGUACUAACACUCUAUCUAGUCCUUUUCUUGUUUGUUUUUCAUGUUUAUUUUAUUUCCCACCACUAGAAUCUAAGCUUUUUGAGAGCCGGCACUUUGUCCAUCUGGGUCACUGAAUCCCAAUGAGUUAUUCACAGAUGUUUUUAGUACAUAGUAGGUGAAAUGCAUAGAUAAUAUUUCAACUAAGAAAGUGAACAGAAGAAAGUUGGUCAUUGACUUAUUACUAGUAGCUCACUACUCUCUAUGUAUGAAGACAUCACUUACUGAUGGUUAUGAAGCAGAUGCUCAAUAAUUUUUUUUUAAUAAACAGGAGGGCAAGGAGCCAAUGUCGUUUGUAGUGGAGGGUAGUCAUGGACACUGAGAGUAUGUUUUAGACACAAUUUAUCAAUGGCCAGCCUCAGGCUGAGAUAAAAUAUAACAGAGUUUGCCAAGGUCUUUCAUGCCCAGGCAGUCAGUGCUCACAUGUUCCCUGUAACUGCCUGGGUACCUUUCCCUGAGUCAUCAGUCCUGUGUCUUAAUUCUUUUAGUAGCACCUGCAUUCUGCUCCUUUAACCUUCCAUCAAUCAGCUCUUAUAUACUGUACAUCUCUUUCUCAAGAAGCCUUGUGCAACGCAUGGUGAUUUCAACAGUGAUGAAUAUUUCCUUCCCUCUGACUUCUUAUGAAACCAGGAUAAUGAAGCAAAUUAGAAUGUAUUUUAACAUCACUCUCCCUUGUUUGCUGUCCAGCUAAUGAACAGUGGACUGGCUGAAGAAAGACCAGCAUGAAGCAGAAAAAUUGUUUGGUGAAAAAUUCAAGAAUGGGCCAAUAUCCAUUAAAAGAUUGAAAGAGGAGAUGUUUUGGGUCCACCUCCACUGGGGACAGAAAUUCCAUUCUGCCAACACCCCCUCCAUAUCCAUUGUCUGAAAGAGGCACUGCUGUUGAGUCAUAAGUAGGCUCCAGUGGCCCAUGUUGACCCUUUGAAAUUCCCAUGGGACUGUCAAUUCUAUCUAUUCUGGGAGCAGCCAACCAUAGCUAAUUACAGGCCUGUGGUAUUAGUGGAACAAGCUUCAGCUUUUUACAUUGGCUUGAUGGAGAACUGAGUAGAUAUAAAAGUGUUACAUGUUUUUCUGUAAUCAUAAUAACGUAAUCUUGUUUCAUAAUCAUUAAUAAUUCCUAACAUUUAUUGAAGAGUUAAUAUGUGUUGAGUAUUUUUGUAAGUGCUUAACAUGCAGUUUUUAAAAUUUUAACUCCUUUUUACAGAAAAGGUUUACAGAACGCCAGAGGGGUAGGUGAUUUUGCCAGAGCUCUUUUAGGUAAUAGGAAACAAAGCCAUAAAUUUGAUCCCAGCUAGUUUGACCCCAUAGUCCAAGCAUUAAUCCCUGAACCACACUAGCUCUGGCAAGGGUAUAAAUGAGCAGUGAUUACUAACUGACUUAAAACACAAUAGGAAUUAUCCCCAGUGAAUUCCAACAUAUAAAGGGACACUAAUUCUUGCCAUAGAAAAUCUAUUUGAUAAGUAUGAACAAGAAUUCCAAGGUUAUCAAAAAUAAUUUCUAAUAGUUUAAUUCUUUAAAAGAAAUGGUGUAUCUCAUGGACACAGGAAGGGGAACAUCACACUCCGGGGACUGUUGUUGGGUGGGGGGAGCGGGGAGGGAGAGCAUUAGGAGAUAUACCUAAUGCUAAAUGACAAGUUAAUGGGUGCAGCACACCAACGUGGCACAUGUAUACAUAUGUAACAAACCUGCACAUUGUGCAAAU